AUUGGGCUGGUUUAGAUGAAGAUGAAGAUGCACAUGUCUGGGAGGAUAAUUGGGAUGAUGACAAUGUAGAGGAUGACUUCUCCAAUCAGUUACGAGCUGAAUUAGAGAAGCAUGGUUAUAAGAUGGAGACCUCAUAGCAUCCAAGAGAAGUGCUGAAGCAACCUAAACUUGAACUGUUUAUAAAUUCUAAGACCGGGAAUCCAGGAUGGGGACACUAUUAAAAAAAAAAUGUUUAUUUCAUUUUUUGCUUGGAUUUAUUUUUGUUAUUAUAAUAAAAACAUAAAUGUUUUGAU